rnacentral:rRNA from 1 species
UGGGAAUAUUGGACAAUGGGCGGAAGCCUGAUCCAGCAACGCCGCGUGAGGGAUGACGGCCUUCGGGUUGUAAACCUCUUUCAGCACAGACGAAGCGCAAGUGACGGUAUGUGCAGAAGAAGGACCGGCCAACUACGUGCCAGCAGCCGCGGUAAUACGUAGGGUCCGAGCGUUGUCCGGAAUUAUUGGGCGUAAAGGGCUCGUAGGCGGUUUGUCGCGUCGGGAGUGAAAACACCGGGCUUAACUCGGUGCUUGCUUUCGAUACGGGCAGACUAGAGGCAUUCAGGGGAGAACAGAAUUCCUGGUGUAGCGGUGAAAUGCGCAGAUAUCAGGAGGAACACCGGUGGCGAAGGCGGUUCUCUGGGAAUGUCCUGACGCUGAGGAGCGAAAGUGUGGGGAGCGAACAGGAUUAGAUACCCUGGUAGUCCACACCGUAAACGUUGGGCGCUAGGUGUGGGAUCCAUUCCACGGGUUCCGUGCCGCAGCUAACGCAUUAAGCGCCCCGCCUGGGGAGUACGGCCGCAAGGCUAAAACUUAAAUAAAUUGACGGGGUCAU